ACCCACACACUACCAGCCCCUCCACCCAGGAACAGCAUCAGCAACCACGCAGAGAGGAGCCCAUUGCUGCUGAAGGUGAGAGGCUGUCCUCUGCCUGCUUUCAGGACUCCUGGUUCUCAGGCUGCUAGACCUGAACUGGAAUCUACAGCCACUGGCUCUCUGGCUUUCAGGUCUUCAAACUACAUCACCAGCUUUCCUGGGCCUGAACCUUGCCAAUGACAGAUUGUGGGACUUCUCAGCCUCCAUAAACAUGAAUGGCAGCAUCUUUGAGGAUCUUGGAGUCAGAGAAAUUCAGACACCAAAAAGUCGAAGAGACUUAAGAGAUCCUUUCUACCUUUUUGUCUGACUCUUAAUUCUCCUAUUUCAUCUCCUUGAAAUGUGUCAUUGAUCAUCUGUUUGGAACCCACUAACAAUGGAGAGCUUAAUUCAACAUGACAGAGGGGAGGAACCAGACACAUAAAUAGGCCAUUUUAAUAAAAUGUGAUUAAUGCUAUAA
rnacentral:lncRNA from 1 species